rnacentral:rRNA from 1 species
CCUACGGGAGGCUGCAGUCGAGAAUCAUUCACAAUGGGGGAAACCCUGAUGGUGCGACGCCGCGUGGGGGAAUGAAGGUCUUCGGAUUGUAAACCCCUGUCAUGUGGGAGCAAAUUAAAAAGAUAGUACCACAAGAGGAAGAUACGGCUAACUCUGUGCCAGCAGCCGCGGUAAUACAGAGGUCUCAAGCGUUGUUCGGAAUCACUGGGCGUAAAGCGUGCGUAGGCUGUUUCGCAAGUCGUGUGUGAAAGGCGCGGGCCCAACCCGAGGACGGCACAUGAUACUGCGAGACUAGAGUAAUGGAGGGGGAAGCGGAAUUCGCGGUGUAGCAGUGAAAUGCGUAGAUAUUGGGAGGAACACUAGUGGCGAAGGCGGGUUCCUGGACAUUAACUGACGCUGAGGCACGAAGGCCAGGGGAGCGAAAGGGAUUAGAUACCCCAGUAGUC